AGAGUUUGAUCAUGGCUCAGAACGAACGCUGGCGGCAGGCUUAACACAUGCAAGUCGAACGCACCGCAAGGUGAGUGGCAGACGGGUGAGUAACGCGUGGGAACCUACCUAUCGGUUCGGAAUAACUCGGGGAAACUCGUGCUAAUACCGGAUACGCCCUUCGGGGGAAAGAUUUAUCGCCGAAUGAUGGGCCCGCGUUGGAUUAGCUAGUUGGUGGGGUAAUGGCCCACCAAGGCGACGAUCCAUAGCUGGUCUGAGAGGAUGAUCAGCCACACUGGGACUGAGACACGGCCCAGACUCCUACGGGAGGCAGCAGUGGGGAAUAUUGGACAAUGGGGGAAACCCUGAUCCAGCCAUGCCGCGUGAGUGAUGAAGGCCUUAGGGUUGUAAAGCUCUUUCGCCUGGGAAGAUAAUGACUGUACCAGGAGAAGAAGCCCCGGCUAACUUCGUGCCAGCCGCCGCGGUAAUUC
rnacentral:rRNA from 1 species